rnacentral:sRNA from 2 species
AGUUCGAUGGGGUCGAUGGCGCGGGUCACCAACAGAUAGUCGCGCAGCGCGAUGCCGUGCCGGUUCUC